rnacentral:lncRNA from 1 species
UGUGUUGUAUACCUUAUGAUAAAAUAGUCAAUGAAAUUUGAUUUAGGUUUUGUGUUGGUACCCAAUAAAUAUACAUUGAUAACGAUGUCAAUUAAUCGUAUAUUUUGUUGUGUCAUUACAAUUAAUCACAUUGGUGUAAGACUAUACUCCCUCCGGUCAUAUUUAUAAGAUACAAAUUACUUUUUAGAUACAUUAAAUAAUUUAUGUAUUUGGUUUAGGUUCUUGACUAGAUACAUAUAUUAUUCAAUGUAUCUAAAAAAUCAAUUUUCUCUUGUAAAUAAGACCGGAGGGAGUAUUACUAAGCUUAGUAUUACUAGUCCUAUAUUCUAUUGUGUGUUUAAUAUAUCUAUACAUAAUAAAGACAUGUGAUUUAAACGAAACAUAUAUUUGUAUGUGGUGAAUAAUCAUUUAUAAAGUCUC